rnacentral:rRNA from 1 species
AAUUUUGGACGAUGGGGGAAACCCUGAUCCAGCCAUCACGCGUGUAUGAUGAAGGCCUUCGGGUUGUAAAGUACUUUUGGCUGAGAAGAAAAGGUAUCUCCUAAUACGAGAUACUGCUGACGGUAUCUGCAGAAUAAGCACGGGUUAAUUACGUGCAAGCAGCCGGGGUAAUACGUAGGGUGCAAGAGUUAAUCGGAAUUAAUGGGCGUAAAGCGUGUGUAGGCGGUUCGGAGAGAAAGAUGUGAAAUCCCAGGGCUCAACCUUGGAACUGCAUUUUUAACUGCCGAGCUAGAGUAUGUCAGAGGGGGGUAGAAUUCCACGUGUAGCAGUGAAAUGCGUAGAUAUGUGGAGGAAUACCGAUGGCGAAGGCAGCCCCCUGGGAUAAUACUGACGCUCAGACACGAAAGCGUGGGGAGCAAACA